rnacentral:rRNA from 1 species
GGGGAAUAUUGGACAAUGGGCGAAAGCCUGAUCCAGCCAUGCCGCGUGUGUGAAGAAGGUCUUCGGAUUGUAAAGCACUUUAAGUUGGGAGGAAGGGCAGUAAGUUAAUACCUUGCUGUUUUGACGUUACCGACAGAAUAAGCACCGGCUAACUCUGUGCCAGCAGCCGCGGUAAUACAGAGGGUGCAAGCGUUAAUCGGAAUUACUGGGCGUAAAGCGCGCGUAGGUGGUUCGUUAAGUUGGAUGUGAAAGCCCCGGGCUCAACCUGGGAACUGCAUCCAAAACUGGCGAGCUAGAGUACGGUAGAGGGUGGUGGAAUUUCCUGUGUAGCGGUGAAAUGCGUAGAUAUAGGAAGGAACACCAGUGGCGAAGGCGACCACCUGGACUGAUACUGACACUGAGGUGCGAAAGCGUGGGGAGCAAAC